rnacentral:piRNA from 1 species
CCAGGGUGUUGCAAUUCCAGCGGUGCU